rnacentral:lncRNA from 1 species
UUUCAUUGAUAUACCAAAAGGCUCCUAUUUCACUGUUGUGAUAUUGAUGAUUCCGAAACACAUUGUUGAUGUACCAAUGAGUCUUUAUUACAUCGUUAUUGUAUAGAAGGUCUAUUACUUGGUUCCUAUUGAUGUAUCAUUAUUCCAAAGGUACUAUAUUGGCAUGAACACUAAUGUAAUAAUCUCAAAAGAUUUUGAACUAAGUUAUUGGAAAGAUCUCUUAUGUGUGUUACUUGAUAUACGUGUGGGUGGUAGCUCAGGGGCUUAAGCCUAGCAUGGGCCGAUCCCGAUAUUUGAUAUGAUUACAGUUGAUAUGUACUGGGG